UAGGGUGUGGUGUAAUGGGAGCACAAAGGGUUUUGAGUUCUUUAAUGUAGGUUCAAGUCCUACCAUCCUAG
rnacentral:tRNA from 1 species